UAGGGAAUCUUGCGCAAUGGGCGAAAGCCUGACGCAGCCAUGCCGCGUGAAUGAUGAAGGUCUUAGGAUUGUAAAAUUCUUUCACCGGGGACGAUAAUGACGGUACCCGGAGAAGAAGCCCCGGCUAACUUCGUGCCAGCAGCCGCGGUAAUACGAAGGGGGCUAGCGUUGCUCGGAAUUACUGGGCGUAAAGGGCGCGUAGGCGGUUAGUUUAGUCAGAGGUAAAAGCCCAGGGCUCAACCUUGGAACUGCCUUUGAUACUGGCUAUCUUGAGUACGGGAGAGGUGUGUGGAACUCCGAGUGUAGAGGUGAAAUUCGUAGAUAUUCGGAAGAACACCAGUGGCGAAGGCGACACACUGGCCCGUUACUGACGCUGAGGCACGAAAGCGUGGGGAGCAAACA
rnacentral:rRNA from 1 species